AAACUUUCAACAACGGAUCUCUGGGUUCUCGCAUCGAUGAAGAACGCAGCGAAAUGCGAUAAGUAAUAUGAAUUGCAGAUUUCCGUGAAUCAUCGAAUCUUUGAACGCACAUUGCGCCCCUUGUUAUUCCGGGGGCCAUGCCUGUUUGAGCGUCAUUU
rnacentral:rRNA from 1 species